rnacentral:rRNA from 1 species
GUGGGGAAUAUUGGACAAUGGGCGCAAGCCUGAUCCAGCCAUGCCGCGUGAGUGAUGAAGGCCUUAGGGUUGUAAAGCUCUUUUGUCCGGGAAGAUAAUGACUGUACCGGAAGAAUAAGCCUCGGCUAACUUCGUGCCAGCAGCCGCGGUAAUACGAAGGGGGCUAGCGUUGUUCGGAAUCACUGGGCGUAAAGCGCACGUAGGCGGACCAUUAAGUCAGGGGUGAAAGCCUGGAGCUCAACUCCAGAACUGCCUUUGAUACUGAUGGGCGCGAGUAUGGAAGAGGUUGGUGGAACUGCGAGUGUAGAGGUGAAAUUCGUAGAUAUUCGCAAGAACACCGGUGGCGAAGGCGGCCAACUGGUCCAUUACUGACGCUGAGGUGCGAAAGCGUGGGGAGCAAACAGGAUUAGAAACCCUGGUAGUCC